GUAAACAACAAUAAUAUCCUGUAGGCAUAGAUUAUUUCAAUAUUUAUAUCUACCUAUUGAAUUUAAUUAAGACAUUGUAUGUCGACUCCCUAUAACUACACUUGAAUUUUUGUAUUUUAGACAUUUCUAGGUUAUAACCGUCAAUAAUCUACGAUGUCACAUAAGUACUACUACGUAGAGUGCAGUUUCAUACGAUUGAAUUGGAAACAGUAUUACUGCAUG